CAUGACUCCCACCACCACCACCGAGUAGCCGAAAGUUUCUCGACAGAAAAUGGUGCCAAGCUCCCCCACCAGGCCACCACCGCCGACUCCUCGGUUCUCACUGCCACAGCAGUCCUCUCCGGUGCCCAGCCAUUACCAGUCAGGCAGUCACCACCACCACCACCACCUCCCGGAGUCCCGAGCCCCAUCCAUUCGCAACCUCCGCGCCGCCUGCCUGCGGCCUCCAAUUCCAAUCCGUCCUCACCACCGGUGGUCCGGUCAUCUCCUCUGCUCCCACUACGCUCCCUCCCUGCUGUUCCCCUACCCGAUCUUCCAGAUUUGGCCUGAAGAAGUAUCUAGGUGAUUCUGCUAGUAAGUCAUGUGGAUUCUUACAGUCUCAUUCUUUCAUUUCCUUUGAUUUGCAGGUGGAAAUGCGUUUAUAUAUUUCUAAAAGGUACUGAUAACUUAAGAAACCAACCGGCGGAAUUACUUGAUCAUUAAUGUUCAAAAAAAAGAAUUACUUGAUCAUGUCUGGCGUCCAAGUAUCUGCAGGAGCCUGUGAUUCAUCGGCAGUUGUUCUGGCACAGCCCCAGCAGCAGCUGCUGCUGCUGCUGCAAGAGGUCACCGUCACCCAGUUUUCUCCUGAAGCAGUCGAUGGAAUCAUAACCAGUGAAGUUGUUCUGGCGCCGCCUCAGCAGCAGCAGCAGGAGCAAAUUGAAGGUAUGCAACGUGCUUGUAGUCUUGGAUCUCCUCGCUUUGAUGGGGGCAUUGACUUUCGGCUCCGCCAGAAGCACAAUGGAUUACGUUUACGAAGGCAUAUUGCUGGUGCUUGUGUUUGUCUCCAUUAUCGUGGCAAGAAUUAUCGAGCGGCUCAAAUGGAAUGCAUAAGAAUGUAGGAGUACUUAUGCCCGUAACCUAGCUGCACAAUUCAAGCCCGGUUGCAUGCACAGGAGUUUAGUAGCCAUGUACUGAAAUGGAUAUAUGGUGUUAUGUCUUUAGCUUUUUACUACUUCUUUAGGGCUUAGGUAGCUGUGUGGAUCACAGCUAUGUAUGUAUCAUCUUGACGUAGUUGUCUAAGAUUAAUAAAGCUUCUCUUAUCAAAGAAUAGAAGACAAAUCUAGCCUUCUUAAAUUGAGUAAACCGAGCUAUUGCAAACGUUCAUGUAUCGGAGAA